AGCAGCCGCGGUAAUUCCAGCUCCAAUAGCGUAUAUUAAAGUUGUUGCAGUUAAAAAGCUCGUAGUUGAAUUUCGGGAUCAAUAUGUUGGUCGUGCCUUGGUACGUACUGGCAUUAUCGAUUCCUACCUUCUGAAGAACCUCGAUGUCAUUAAUUUGGUGUCUUGGGGAAUCAGGACUGUUACUUUGAAAAAAUUAGAGUGUUUAAAGCAGGCUCGCGCUUGAAUACAUUAGCAUGGAAUAAUGAAAUAGGACGUUUGAUUCUAUUUUGUUGGUUUCUAGGAUCGACGUAAUGAUUAAUAGGGAUAGUUGGGGGCAUUAGUAUUCAAUUGUCAGAGGUGAAAUUCUUGGAUUUAUUGAAGACUAACUACUGCGAAAGCAUUUGCCAAGGAUGUUUUCAUUAAUCAAGAACGAAAGUUAGGGGAUCGAAGACGAUCAGAUACCGUCGUAGUCUUAACCAUAAACUAUGCCGACUAGGGAUCGGAUGAUGUAAUUUUUAAUGACUCAUUCGGCGUCCG
rnacentral:rRNA from 1 species